rnacentral:rRNA from 1 species
GCCUCUUUGUUUACAACUCAUAGGACUAUAAGCAAUUGAAAAAUAAAUAAAAGCAAAGAAACUAGUAAGUUGUACUUUUUGAAUAACGGUUUCUCCAAUAUAAAAUAUUUUUAACCCGAAAUGAGAAGAUCUAAUUUAGAGAAAAAAAAUCCAUGUAGCAAAAUGGAGAAAAGUAAAAAAAAAUUAGGAACGAAAAGUCUCCAAUUCUCAAGUUAUCUGGACCUUCACCAAAUACAUUUGGUGUAUAAAAGAAAAUAUACCGGUAUUCAGGCCGGUAUAAAGAAAUAUAAUUGGUCUCUUUUUUUAAGAUUAAUAUCUUAGCUUUAAGGAAAAAAAACUAUUUAUUUAGAGCAGGUAUUUUUAUGUUAGUGAAGGGGAACAACUUAAUUCUAAUUAUGGGAAAAUUAGUAGUAAUAUUAAAAAACGUAAAGGAACUCGGCAAAUGAGAACUUCGACUGUUUACCAAAAACAUAGCCCUAAGAAGUUAUUUAGGGUGAAGCCUGCCCUAUGAUCUAAUUAAAUGGCCGCGGUACUCUGACCGUGCUAAGGUAGCAUAAUCAAUUGGCUUUUAAAUGGAGUCUGGAAUGAAAGGAGAAUACGGGGUUCAGCUGUCUCUUAGUUUUUAUUGCGAAUUUACUAAUUAGGUGAAAAGGCCUAAAAAAGAAAAAAGACGAGAAGACCCUUAGAGUUUUAAGUAUUGUUGGGGCGACACAGAGUCAGAAAACACUCUGAAUUCUAUGGGACGGAUUUAUCAUGUUUAGACAAACUACCUGAGGGAUAACAGCAUAAUCUUCAUAAGGUUUGUGACCUCGAUGUUGGACUAGGAAGUCUGCUAGCUAGCCGCUAGCAAGAGGAAUUCUGUUCGAAUUAUCACUCCUA